UGCAACACGUUGAGAAGGAGUAGUACAUUCAAUGUUACUUUUCAAGAGAGCUAACGGUUGGUGGAAGUUAGUAAAGUGCAUGAAUCGAAUGGACCUUUGAGUGGUGCCUUGAACAUGAAAGUAGAGACAUCCGGCGGCAACCGUUACUUGCGAGAGGUGACAUAGGUCACAACUGAGGUGGUACCGCGGAUUGAUUUCGUCCUCCAU
rnacentral:ncRNA from 1 species